rnacentral:misc_RNA from 1 species
AAGUCGUAACAAGGUUUCCGUAGGUGAACCUGCGGAAGGAUCAUUAACACGUAUCCAAACGUUAAAACCCCCCCCGUGAACCUUCAUCCUGCUCUUGUAACCCGCGUAGUUCGCAAUCUCUGAUAAAUCAUAGCCCGGAAAGUUGUAGUGAUUCAGAGACCUCUGGCUACGUGCGAACAUUGGAACAGUUACAAUCGAGCGGUAGUUCUAUAGGCAAUGUUUCCCCAAGCAGUCUUCUACGAUUCCUGUAGACCGUACACUCGGGCAGGAGCUUUGCCAAAGGGUCCCCAUGCCCCCUAAUAACCCCACAGUUUAAUGUGAAGCUCAAUGUAAUACAUUGGGUAAAAAAACCGAACAACUGUUAACAAUGGAUAUCUUGGUUCUCGC